rnacentral:tRNA from 1 species
GGAAAUGUGCCCGAAAGUUAGGGACCUCCUCGAUAAGGAGAACUAUAAGAGUUCAAAUCUCCUCACUUCC